rnacentral:misc_RNA from 1 species
UAGCUCUUUAACAAUUUGGAAAGCAGACUAGUAAAUUCAAUCGAAUGAUUGAUUUAUUUUAAGUUUUUAUCGAAAGAUAAAAACGAGUUCUCAAAACAAACACACUCAAGUGUCUUGUGUAAGAGUCCGGCGAAACAACGUCUAUCACAACUCAGAUAGACAACCUUGGUUGUUUGAACAUACGAAACCUCUUGGGGUUGUAU